rnacentral:rRNA from 1 species
AGAGUUUGAUCCUGGCUCAGGAUGAACGCUGGCGGCGUGCCUAACACAUGCAAGUCGAACGGGGGAGUGUAAGGAAGGAGGAUGCUUGCAUCUUCCGGAGAUACAAUCCCCAGUGGCGGACGGGUGAGUAACGCGUGGGCAACCUGCCCUGUACAGGGGGAUACCAUCUGGAAACAGAUGCUAAUACCGCAUGAGCACAUUCAGCCGCAUGGCGGGAUGUGGAAAGGGAGCAGUCCCGGUACAGGAUGGACCCGCGUCUGAUUAGCCAGUUGGCAGGGUAACGGCCUACCAAAGCGACGAUCAGUAGCCGGCCUGAGAGGGUGAACGGCCACAUUGGGACUGAGACACGGCCCAGACUCCUACGGGAGGCAGCAGUGGGGAAUAUUGCACAAUGGGGGAAACCCUGAUGCAGCGACGCCGCGUGAGUGAAGAAGUAUUUCGGUAUGUAAAGCUCUGUCAGCAGGGAAGAAGAGGGGGCAACCCCGGACGGUACCUGACCAAGAAGCCCCGGCUAACUACGUGCCAGCAGCCGCGGUAAUACGUAGGGGGCAAGCGUUAUCCGGAAUCACUGGGUGUAAAGGGAGCGUAGACGGCAUGGCAAGCCUGGAGUGAAAGCCCACAGCCCAACUGUGGGACUGCUCUGGGAACUGUCAUACUGGAGUGCAGGAGAGGUAAGUGGAAUUCCUGGUGUAGCGGUGAAAUGCGUAGAUAUCAGGAGGAACACCAGUGGCGAAGGCGGCUUACUGGACUGUAACUGACGUUGAGGCUCGAAAGCGUGGGGAGCAAACAGGAUUAGAUACCCUGGUAGUCCACGCCGUAAACGAUGAUCCCCAGGUGUCGGGGGGCAAAAGCCCUUCGGUGCCGAAAGCAAACCCAUAAAGUGAUCCACCCGGGGAGUACGUCCGCAAAGGAUGAAACUCAAAGGAAAUGACGGGGACCCCGCACAAGGCGGUGGAGCAUGUGGUUUUAAUUUGAAAGCAACGCGAAGAACCUUACCCGGCCUUGACAUCCCCCUGACAGCAUAUGUAAUGUAUGUUCCCUUCGGGGCAGGGGAGACAGGUGGUGCAUGGUUGUCGUCAGCUCGUGUCGUGAGAUGUUGGGUUAAGUCCCGCAACGAGCGCAACCCUUACCCACAGUAGCCAGCAGGAGAGCUGGGCACUCUGUGGGGACUGCCGGGGACAACCCGGAGGAAGGCGGGGAUGACGUCAAAUCAUCAUGCCCCUUAUGGCCGGGGCUACACACGUGCUACAAUGGCGUAAACAAAGGGAAGCGAGAGAGUGAUCUUAAGCAAAACUCAAAAAUAACGUCCCAGUUCGGAUUGUAGUCUGCAACCCGACUACAUGAAGCUGGAAUCGCUAGUAAUCGCGGAUCAGAAUGCCGCGGUGAAUACGUUCCCGGGUCUUGCACACACCGCCCGUCA